AGGGAGGUCCCGUAAGUUGGUUAACGGGUUGAGCUGUAAACUCAAUAGCUAUAAGCUAUCGAAGGUUCGAUUCCUUUUCUCCCUA
rfam:Penicillium flavigenum strain IBT 14082 PENFLA_contig122, whole genome shotgun sequence.